GGGGGUAUCUUUUGAAAGUCUUCAUAUGAAGAAUGAAAAAAAGAACAGCUAGAACACGUAGAAAGGUUGACAAUACUGAAAUCAAUUGUUGUUUAAUGUCAUUUCGUUUCCUUAGUUUAGGAUUCAAUUUGGACCAAUGGAAGAGAUCUGCAUCUUCUAAAUCUAAACAUUCGAUUAAAGUUGAUAGUUAAUUAUGUAAAAUUCAACUGAAUUCUGUCAUUUAACAACAACUACAAUAUUUUCUGAAAUCUUAAUUGUGUACCACUGAACUGCAGGCUAGGCCAUUUUCCAGUUUGUUUGACAGUACUCUAAGAUUUUUAACUUUUCUUAAGAAAGUUAUGAC
rnacentral:lncRNA from 1 species